GUGCCCCGUGAAGUGGAAGUGUGGAGUCUUAACCACUGGACCAUCGAUGAAGUCCCAGAAAAAGUCUUAUAUUUACCCAGUACUUUAAAGCUGCUGUUCCGUUGUUGGCUUAGUCUGCUCCAGCUGCUAUAACAAAAAUAUCAUACACUGUGUGGCUUAAAUACAAACACUUAUUUCUCACAGUUCUGGAGGCUGGGAUGUCCAAGAUAAAGGUACCAGCUGAUUCAUUGUCUGGUGACACGCUGGGUCCCACCGUUGGUCAAGGCAACACCUCAACUCUGUUCUAGCUCUCCACUCAAUCCUGCAGGUUCCAACCUGCCUCCCUUUCUUGGUGAAAUACCAGAGUCUUACCUUCCUUUUUCAAAUGGAAAUCGUGCUGUGAAAUCUGCAAACUAUAACUUCUGUCAGGUAUAUAUGCCGAUCCUUCCACCCACAGCAACAUUAUAGCAACUGGCCGGGAGAUCAGAAGCCUGUGGGGCAACACACCGCCUGGUGCAGCGAUGCUCGGGCCAGGGAAUGAAGUUCAGACCACCGCCAGUGUUACAUCAGCUCAAAAUACGGAAACACAAACCCAGUAAUAAAAACCAGAGAGACGUGAGCUUUUCCUCUGUUGUUCACGCUAUGGACCCACAAGCCCAUUUUCCAGGUCUCGGCCUAGCUCUGCAGACUGCCCGAACUGCUUCGAUCCUACAACCCCAGCGCACGUUUGCCUUCCACCUCAAAUUCUCCCCGAAAAUUCUCUUAUCUACCCACAACGAUCUCUCUUAAUUUCCGAAAAUGAAAGCCUGAUUGUCAGGCGUGAGAUCAAUCUACAGAGACCUGCUAAAUGUCCUAGGAAACACCCAGAAACAGAACAGAUGAGAAAAACAAGGCUGAGAAAGGUUAAGUAACUUGAUCAAGAUCACACAACCAGCAAGUGGCUGAGCCAGAAUUUAAACUGCAGUCUGACUCCAGACCCUGUGGUCCUGACUUCGAAGCCCUCAACUUUCACAAAAGAAGUAGUUUGGGUGAAAUUUUUUUUCAGAAAGAAGGCUUUUAUCAAGGUUGAUGAUUGCUGCCUCUACAAAGGACCUCCUGAGGCUCUGCUGUGCCAGUAUCUCACUCCAUAAAGCACGUCUUGCCUUCUGUACAUUGGAGCAUCCACUGAGUGCCAGGUCUGCUCAGCACUUCAUACAAUGGCAGCAUAAUGACAUACACGGAUGCUCGGUGGAGGUGUCCAUGAAGAAACCGGAAGUCACCUUGCUGAUGAGAGGCGAAGGAGGCCUCAAACUUUGGGUUCAUAAAAAAUUCCAGUUGGAACAGAUGUUCUCUUAGCUCACACAAGAAGCUGUCUGUACUGAACAUCUUACCUCACCACACCAACAGCCAAGUAAUAAGCCCAGAAUGACAAAAGGAGCUUCCAGAAUAUGGCAACAAUGCCUUGCAGCAGUUCUGCUACAGGCAGUGAAGUCCCCGAAAUCAAGGCCACCCUCCUCGCAGAAGCAGACGCUGUCAACUCCCUCUUUCCGCUGAGGACUGGCACCCAGCUGGGAAUAAUUUCAUGUUUCCAAGGUACAUCAAGCAGAAGACAGACACCCAGAAAGAAGAAAGGCCACAUUCCCUGACAUCAGCAUCAGGGUUAACAGGAACCACUUGCUAACCCUUCCUAACUAUGCCUCGUAGAGCCUCGCUGAGGCACGGCUUUCUCCUUCAGAAGUGGGCAGCCCAGUGCCUCUCCCUGGCCAGAAAGAACCACAAAGGAAGAUUCCUGACUCUCUCCAAGACUAUCAUUUCUAACCUAUUUGUCAUAAUUUCACAGAGACAAAAAAGCCCUCCCCAAACAUUCACCACUGAGUCCCAUCAGGACCAAGAGGGAGCGAGUACCUUCUGGUUCACUUUAGUGGCGGCC